GCCUUAGGAGACAUGGAGUGUGGAAUCGUGACUGACGGCUCAAAACAUGGACAAAAUAUUCCCAGCUGUUGCAUUAAGAAUCAGCAGGAGCUGGAAAUUUUCAGGUUCUAAAAAAUUCCAACAGUGCGUGGCUGAGAGAGGCCUUGCUAACGAGGACUCUUUAAACCACAUGGACAUGAUCAGGGUGAAGAUGAAAAGUUCCAGGAAUUAACCAACAUUAUUGAUCAACUUCCUCUGAACUGCUGUUAAGAAGUCAAAUUAACCUCCAUAUGUGAGACCUACUACCAAAUCUUGCAGAAAACCUGGAGCACAAAGGAAGGUUUUAGUCCCUCAUCUCCCAGCUAAUGACCACAGCAUACCAGUAAAACCAUUUCCUUGUUUGGCGGCAUGACACAUCAAGCUGGGUUCCUGCUCACCCCAACUAGACCACACCCAACAUAUUUAUUAGACAGCUUUAAUUCUAAGUCUAUAAAUAACAAAUAACGUCACUGGGAUAAGUUGGCAAACACUGGAUGUUUACAUGACUGCAGAAACUCCACCUGUCUUCAGUCGGCGUUAAAAACCAAAAUUAAAGAGUAAACACGUGAGG